rnacentral:misc_RNA from 1 species
GGAGCAGAGAAGAAAAGGGUGCGAAGAUCGUCAGGAGCCGUACAAAACGGCACCAGAGAUCCCAGUUCCGAUACCCCUCAUAUGAAACAAUCUACAAAGAAGGAUGUGUUUCAGUUGUUUGCUGAGAAAGUGAGAGACCACAAAGAUUUGGUUUCUCGUUGGGCUGUUUUGCAGGAGACACGAGUCGAAUACUUUAGAGGGAAGGAUUUCGUAAAUUUCCUGAAAAAUCAUCCCGAGUUAAAAGAUAUAUUGGAACCAAAUAAAAGUUUAGAGGUUGAAGAGAUUGCUAAUACUUUAUUAAGAAAGAAUCUUUUAGUGCGCUGUGAUCGUGUGGUGAAAACAGUUCGUCCUGGGAAGAAAAAGUUCUGGCCAGCACAUUUAGAGAUCUUCCCUGAUCAAGUAUUUUCAGAAAAUGAUGCCUUUUUUGCAUGGACAUUUGUAAAACGCCACUGUGGCAGACACUUCUCUCAUUUUUUUGGCCGGUGUUGACUCUAGCAAUUUGCCUGUUUCCUGUAUAUCCCCAUCGGUGCAAAGUACUGAUUCUCUACGCAUGUGCAGGAGUUCUUUUACUUAUUCUCUCCCUGCUUUUAUUGAGAGCUACAAUAUUUGGUGCUCUAUAUAUCAUUCUUGGAAAUCAUGUUUGGUUUUUCCCCAACAUCCUUGCUGAAGAGGCUACUUUGCGAGAAUUAUUCCGUUUCUGGCCAAAGAAAGAUGAGGAGGAACGACCUACGUGGACAGCAAGACUUUUCUAUGCAGUAGUAGCUGUGCUGGUCAUAUUACUGUUGAGACAUCAUGCCCCUGAUGAGGCUGCCAGAGCUAGGUAUCCAAAACGGAUGUUCAAUAUCAUUGAUGAUGUUCUUGAGUGGUCUCCAAGGCUUGCUCUGUCUGGGAUGAUAGAGAAACAGCAGACUGUGGUUAAUGCCACGGAGCCCAACAACAGUUUUGCAGAUGGGAGAAAAACAAACUCAGAGCACUCAGAGCAAUCUGGGGAUGAAGUAUUUGGAAACAUAGAUGACGUGGAUCAACCCCAGCAUGAAGAUCAUAUACAAGGAUAGAAAAAUGCAAUAUACUGAGCAGAAGACAGAUAUACUACCUUCUUUCUUUGGGUUUUCUUCUUUAGUUUUGAUUUGAGUGUAAAACAAAACUGUAAUCAAACAGUGAAAUAAAGCAGUUGGCUUGUAAUGCCCCCUUAAUAGAAUUAUGAGAAUAGAUUACAAUGUUAAGUUCAGG